UACGUAGGGCGCAAGCGUUGUCCGGAAUUAUUGGGCGUAAAGAGCUCGUAGGCGGUCUGUCGCGUCUGUUGUGAAAACUCGAGGCUCAACCUCGGGCUUGCAGUGGAUACGGGCAGACUAGAGUGCGGUAGGGGAGACUGGAAUUCCUGGUGUAGCGGUGAAAUGCGCAGAUAUCAGGAGGAACACCGAUGGCGAAGGCAGGUCUCUGGGCCAUAACUGACGCUGAGAAGCGAAAGCAUGGGGAGCGAACAGG
rnacentral:rRNA from 1 species